CAGGAGUCCUACUCUCAGCUCCCCAUCACCAACCGAGAGGAGCAACCGCACUAGGAUAUAUGGACAAACAGCUCCACGAAAGCCCAUCUGGAGAGACGCUCCCCACACUAGGACCCCUGGAGGCUCACCAGGGAGCCCCCCGCGCUGGUCAUUUGUGGAAGCCAAGGUCGGCGAUAGAGGCCUCUGGGUGGAGGCCUGUGACGAAACCAAGUGGGGAGGCCCUGAAGAGCCCUGUGCCUAGUGGGGGGGCCACGAGCACAUCCUCUGACAGAGGACGGAGAGCUGACCUCAGUGAACCCAAGCGCACUCCUGGCCUCAUCCUGCGCUCCCGGGGACAGCCCUAGGAGCGUCCAAUACAGCCCUCUGCAGCUGGGCCACCAGCAUCUGAGCCACCUGGUCUUCCACUGCCCCCACCAGCCCUCAGCCAGCCUGUUACUGGCCCUGCCCCAUCUCUUGUCCUCCUCCCUGACCCCACGGAGACCCCUGCCCUCGAUGACCCCGUCCUCAAUGAUAUUGCUGGGGUGGGGGGAGAGGGUCCUGCUCAAUGCCCAGGAAGAAUUGAGAUGGGGCAAGCAGGGGGCUUUGGAUUUGGAGUCUGGAUAGUUCCCUGAGCAAGCGCCUGUCCCUCUGGGCCUCAGUGUCCCCAUCUGUAUGCGGUGAGUGUCGAAUUGUGCUAAGGUUUGCAUGUGACUUGUCCCCAGUGAAAUUCAUGUUGGCAUUGAUUCCCACUAUAAGGGGGUUGUGGGGUGGUGAUCAGGUUGUUACGAGGGACUAACCCCCUGCUGCGGCACUCGGCUGCUUCUCUUGGGAGUGAGUUCUCGCUCUCUGGGGCGAGGCUAGUUACCAUGGGAGUGGGUGGUACACGGCGAGGCUGCCCCUUGCGUUUCUCUUCUGCACGCACCUGCUUGCCCUUUCGCUUCCCACCAUGAAUUAAAGCAGCACGAGGUCCUCACUGCUGCCAUGUUCUUGGACUUUCAGCCUCCACAACCCUCAGCCCAAAUAGACCUCUAUUCUUCAUAAGUCUGCCGGUCUCAGGUAUUCUGUUAUAGCAACAAAGAAAUGGACCAGGAGUCCCUGAGGGAUCUCUGAGGUUGUGACCGAGGCCCCUGUGAGCCAGGACAAGCCCAGCCACACAACAGGCCUGGGGACCAACCACUGCCCUCAGACUGUCAGUCACUUUUGUCCUUUGCUCCCUUUGUCUGCUCACAAGACCCUCCUCAGCCAGCCCAGAGAACUGCUUCUGCCUCACUGCACCCCACAAAGCAGCUGAGGAAAGCCCGCCUCCCACAGCUCCCAUUUCUCGCAGCCCCUGGGCAUUCCUUGAAUCACAUCCAAGGUAGAAUGGCCAGGGGACAUUUUCCAUGCAGGGGACACACUUCCAUGGCAUCUGUGGCUGUGGAUGGCUGCAUGGGCCUCAAGCAUGC
rnacentral:lncRNA from 1 species